rnacentral:rRNA from 1 species
AUUACCGCGGCUGCUGGAGUGGGGUUGUAGGACCAGGCGGCUCCCACUGCAUAGGGGGCGCGGAGUGAUCAAUCGGCGGUGUAGCGGAAGCACCUGGGAAGGUGCGGCGUAGAGGGUGAGACCCCCGUACGCGAAACGCUGCCGACUCUGUGGCCUGGCACCUGAGUACCAUGGGGCACGAGCAACCCCGUGGGAAUCUGGGAGGACCAUCUUCCAAGGCUAAGUACUACCUGAUGACCGAUAGUGAACGAGUACCGUGAGGGAAAGGUGAAAAGUACCCCGAAAGGGGGGUGAAAAGAUCCUGAAACCGUGUGUCUACGAACAGUAGGAGCGUCCUUCGGGGCGCGACUGCGUACCUUUUGCAUAAUGAGUCAGCGAGUUGUGCGUUGCAGCAAGGUUAAGCCGCAAGGUUUCCUGUCCAAGGACAAUCCGGGCAGGGUUAGUCGGCCCCUAAGGUGAAGCCGAACGGCGUAGCCGAUGGGAAGNGGGUCAAUAUUCCCGC